GGUCUGUUCGUCUAAUGGUUAGGACACCACCCUUUCACGGUGGUAAUAGGGGUUCGAUUCCCCUACAGACUA
rnacentral:tRNA from 1 species